GGCGGCUGGAGUGUGGUGGAGAGAGUUUGUUUAUUCUUACCUCUUUCCCUCACCAUGGUGAAGGGAUCCCCCCAGACGCUGGUAGGUAAAACACUAACAAGUGGCUUUUUCUCCUGAGUGUCCUUCUAAAUAAUUUGCCCACUUUUGUCAUUAGGGCAGGAUCGCCGCCUUCAGCCGAUGGACAAAACCCAGCAUUCUGCACUGUGAGGAGCAGGCAGCCACCAGCCUCCUCGCGUUGCCAUGGAAACGGCGAGUGCGGCCUGCACCGGGGGAUGCACCCGCUGCCCCACAGGCACCCCGGUGUUCUGUAGGACUUUCUCAUCUCACUAGCAUUCCUCCACACCAAAACAAUGGCCACAGUUGAGGUGACUGUCUAUCUAAAACCACCUGGGUUCUGUAUGCUGUGAUGUGUCCAUGUGGAACGGCCCAACAUCCCUAGAGUUGGUUGCACGUCUCAGUAGAAAACAGCAAG
rnacentral:lncRNA from 1 species